rnacentral:tRNA from 1 species
GGUUGUGACUCAGUGGUAGAGCACUUGCCCAGCAUGUGAGAGGCCCUGGGUUCGAUCCUCAGUACCA